AUAGUUUCUUCUACUUCUAGUUGGAUAUUAGACUCUGGUUCGAGUGCUUAUAUAUGUACCUUAAUGUAGAGUCUAAUAGAAAGUAAGAGAUUGAGAGAAGGUGACAUGAUUCUUCGAGUCAGCAAUGGAGCAAAAGUUACUACAGAAGUCAUUGGUACUUAUCUUCUUCGAUUAUCAUCAGAUUUUAGAUUAGAUUUAAAAGACUGUUAUUUUAUUCUUGU
rnacentral:lncRNA from 1 species